UACGGGGGGGGCAAGCGUUGUUCGGAAUUACUGGGCGUAAAGGGCUCGUAGGCGGCCAACUAAGUCAGACGUGAAAUCCCUCGGCUUAACCGGGGAACUGCAUCUGAUACUGGAUGGCUUGAAUUCGGGAGAGGGAUGCAGAAUUCCAGGUGUAGCGGUGAAAUGCGUAGAUAUCUGGAGGAAUACCGGUGGCGAAGGCGGCAUCCUGGACCGAGAUUGACGCUGAUGAGCGAAAGCUAGGGGAGCAAACGGG
rnacentral:rRNA from 1 species